UGCCUUACACAUGCAAGUCGAACGGCAGCACGGGGGCGAACCCUGGUGGCGAGUGGCGAACGGGUGAGUAAUGCAUCGGAACGUGCCCAUCGAUGGGGGAUAACUGCGCGAAAGCGUUGCUAAUACCGCAUACGACCUUCGGGUGAAAGCGGGGGACCUUCGGGCCUCGCGCGAUUGGAUGAGCCGAUGCCGGAUUAGCUAGUUGGUGGGGUAACGGCCUACCCAAGGCGACGAUGCGUAGCCGACCUGAGAGGGUGGACGGCCACACUGGGACUGAGACACGGUCCAGACUCCUACGGGAGGCAGCAGUGGGGAAUUUUGCGCAAUGGGGGAAACCCUGACGCAGCAACGCCGCGUGGAGGAUGAAGUCUCUUGGGACGUAAACUCCUUUCGAUCGGGACGAUUAUGACGGUACCGGAAGAAGAAGCCCCGGCUAACUUCGUG
rnacentral:rRNA from 1 species